rnacentral:rRNA from 1 species
UCUACAGGCUUAACACAUGCAAGUCGAGGGGCAGCAUGGUCUUAGCUUGCUAAGGCCGAUGGCGACCGGCGCACGGGUGAGUAACACGUAUCCAACCUGCCGUCUACUCUUGGACAGCCUUCUGAAAGGAAGAUUAAUACAAGAUGGCAUCAUGAGUCCACAUGUUCACAUGAUUAAAGGUAUUCCGGUAGACGAUGGGGAUGCGUUCCAUUAGAUAGUAGGCGGGGUAACGGCCCACCUAGUCUUCGAUGGAUAGGGGUUCUGAGAGGAAGGUCCCCCACAUUGGAACUGAGACACGGUCCAAACUCCUACGGGAGGCAGCAGUGAGGAAUAUUGGUCAAUGGGCGAGAGCCUGAACCAGCCAAGUAGCGUGAAGGAUGACUGCCCUAUGGGUUGUAAACUUCUUUUAUAAAGGAAUAAAGUCGGGUAUGGAUACCCGUUUGCAUGUACUUUACGAAUAAGGAUCGGCUAACUCCGUGCCAGCAGCCGCGGUAAUACGGAGGAUCCGAGCGUUAUCCGGAUUUAUUGGGUUUAAAGGGAGCGUAGAUGGAUGUUUAAGUCAGUUGUGAAAGUUUGCGGCUCAACCGUAAAAUUGCAGUUGAUACUGGAUAUCUUGAGUGCAGUUGAGGCAGGCGGAAUUCGUGGUGUAGCGGUGAAAUGCUUAGAUAUCACGAAGAACUCCGAUUGCGAAGGCAGCCUGCUAAGCUGCAACUGACAUUGAGGCUCGAAAGUGUGGGUAUCAAACAGGAUUAGAUACCCUGGUAGUCCACACGGUAAACGAUGAAUACUCGCUGUUUGCGAUAUACAGCAAGCGGCCAAGCGAAAGCGUUAAGUAUUCCACCUGGGGAGUACGCCGGCAACGGUGAAACUCAAAGGAAUUGACGGGGGCCCGCACAAGCGGAGGAACAUGUGGUUUAAUUCGAUGAUACGCGAGGAACCUUACCCGGGCUUAAAUUGCAGAUGAAUUACGGUGAAAGCCGUAAGCCGCAAGGCAUCUGUGGAGGUGCUGCAUGGUUGUCGUCAGCUCGUGCCGUGAGGUGUCGGCUUAAGUGCCAUAACGAGCGCAACCCUUGUUGUCAGUUACUAACAGGUUCCGCUGAGGACUCUGACAAGACUGCCAUCGUAAGAUGUGAGGAAGGUGGGGAUGACGUCAAAUCAGCACGGCCCUUACGUCCGGGGCUACACACGUGUUACAAUGGGGGGUACAGAGGGCCGCUACCACGCGAGUGGAUGCCAAUCCCAAAAACCUCUCUCAGUUCGGACUGGAGUCUGCAACCCGACUCCACGAAGCUGGAUUCGCUAGUAAUCGCGCAUCAGCCACGGCGCGGUGAAUACGUUCCCGGGCCUUGUGCACACCGCCCGUCAAGCCAUGGGAGCCGGGGGUACCUGAAGUGCGUAACCGCGAGGAGCGCCCUAGGGUAAAACUGGUGACUGG